GGGGAUCUGAGGCCCCGUUCAGAGGAGAGACACGGACGGGUGCACUGUACUCAGGAUGGCGACCAUGAUGGAGCCAGACACUCGCACCCUGACCACAGCAAAAACAUCCACAUGAAACUACCUGAGUGAGACCAGCACUCCGAGGAGCGUCUCGCCAAGAGACACAAAGCAUCCAAGACAAAGAAGAAUGUCAAGGACAUGUAACGUGACCACUGAGACCAGGAUACAUCUGAGAGGAACUCCAGCAGCAGCCUCGAGGGAUUCAACAAGACGAAGCGAUACGACAUGAACUCCCCAUGCGGAAGCCACUCCAGCCUGAGCGAUAAGGAGCACCAUGGCAGCGACUACAACGAAGAAAACUGCAAGCACUGGCACCAUGAGAGAGAGCAACCAGCACUGAGAACAGCCAAUACAGCCACAGCGGACCACAGCUCCACAUCCACGCAGGACGUGGACUUUCUUCAAAAGAAGUGAAUUUCAGACUGGAAAGUGAUGCUUUAAUCAUAUAAAUCAAAGAAGAAGGCUUAACAUCUUAGCUGCUGUUUAUACACUCGAAUGACAGGAC